rfam:Gossypium arboreum cultivar AKA8401 contig_1108_1, whole genome shotgun sequence.
UGUUAAAGAAUUUAUCCAUUUCCACUGUUAAAAACUAGGGUGUCUGACGAAAUAACCAAACAAUUACACAUGGUGUGUCACAUAUACCUUAUGCUAACAUAAAGGGAUUAGUUUUUAACAAUAAAAAUGAAUGAAACUUUUAAUG